UUUAUAUUUGUGUCUGGCAUGCAUUAGCCACACUAUUUGGCAUCUGCAAUUUCAGUACAAGUUUGUUUAACAUUGUGUGAGACUCUCCAGUCAUUCUUCUUGCUUUGUCAUAUCAGCUAUUAAGGAUGAUGACAUUUGAAAGUGCCUGGACAAAACUGAUACAUAAAGGAGGAAGCGGGACAAGAGACAAGAGAUAUUAUGCCCCCAGAGGAAGAACAUUGUGUCAUGGGAUGACCAAGCACCAAAAUAAAGAUGCCUUAAAGAGCCACUGCUGCAGGAACAACACAAUUUGCUACUCACUUGCUGCUUGGAUUCAGAUGUCAGGGAUGAAGAAGUGUGUGUUUACUGAGCAGUGUUACCUUGCAACAGUGUAAGUUCUUUAAUAAUAACUCCAAUGCAUGACUGUAAUGAAAAAGACAGAACACUGUACAACUGCUGUGCUCUCCUCUCCAGAAGAUCCAGACUCUGUAAAUCCCACCACUCAAGAAAGGGGCAGAAGAAAACAAAAGUGAUUUUAGAUCUGACUUACCUUUGUUUCACAAUUAUUAAUAAACAUUUGGAAUUAUUAA